UUUUAGCGAGAUAUCACAUGUCGAAAUCGAGAUUUAUGUAAAUACAGUAUCAAGCAGAAUCGAAGCCAGUAUUUUAUUUCAGUUACGGAAUCACCGAGACAUAGAAAAUACAUCAUUAAUUCUUCUCUAUUUUUUUUUUCUUUUUCUUUCCAUCAAUCUUUGACCACUCAUUUUUCACCCCAACCAUUCACUCUUUCCCAACCACUUUCCCCCAUCACUCAUCAUUUUUCCCACCACUACUCAAUUUUUUUCCACUACAAUAAUCCUCCACUUAGCCUACAUCAACUCACGUAAACCAAAUACACUUAGUUGACUCCAUCCAAGAACACCAUAUUCUUCACCCUUCACUUAGCAAUUUCAGAAGAACAAAGAUCUUUCUUCACUGCUCCUACCAACUUCAAGGUAAGGUUUGGCUCAAUACUUUCAUUCUCCCUCGACUAAAUUCACCUGCAUUAUACAAUGAAC
rnacentral:lncRNA from 1 species